rnacentral:rRNA from 1 species
UACGGGGGGGGCAAGCGUUGUUCGGAAUUACUGGGCGUAAAGGGCUCGUAGGUGGCCAACUAAGUCAGACGUGAAAUCCCUCGGCUUAACCGGGGAAUGACGUCUGAUACUGGAUGGCUUGAGUUCGGGAGAGGGAUGCGGAAUUCCAGGUGUAGCGGUGAAAUGCGUAGAUAUCUGGAGGAACACCGGUGGCGAAGGCGGCAUCCUGGACCGAGACUGACACUGAGGAGCGAAAGCCAGGGGAGCAAACGGG